rnacentral:tRNA from 3 species
GGCCAGGUAGCUCAGUUGGUAGAGCAUGCGGCUGAAAACCGCAGUGUCGGCGGUUCGAUUCCGCCCUUGGCCA